rnacentral:piRNA from 1 species
UUUGUUUUUUACAGAUUGAGU